GAUCCCAUUUUCCCCACUAGGAGCUAGGUGUAGGCCAUUUCUGCGUCUUUACAUACGUAGGUUUUCACUCAUUUCUCAAUAUCGGGCUGAUAUUUAUUCCCAUUUAGGUUUUCACAAAAAUGAGUAUGUUGACUUAGUGUGCAACACAGCAGACGGGCUCAUUUAAAACACCACCGUGGUUUUGUAGGUCUUGAUGUCUGCUAUUUUCAUUUUAUUAUUCACUAAUUUCUGGUUCCGAAUCCAUUUAAGAUUUUAUACCUGUGUAACUCAGAGUACUUGCAUUCUCUUUUCUUACGGGCUGAAAUUUUCUCUGGUGGUCGCUGGCAUUUUAUUCUAAGCAUCAUUAACUGACCACAAAGCCAAAACGGACCCAAACAUUCUGGAACAACCUGUCGUGCCUAAUUUACCAGUGAGGAGUAACUUAACCCCAGAGAGAACUGGAUUCAGGACCGUUUUUUUUCCUUAAGCCAUUCCUGUGGUGUAUUAACCGAGUGCACACAACUUGGAUGCACCCUGAUGCAGCAUUGGGUGUCCGGUUAGGGUGAACUGCAGAGCCGUUGCCCAGUGGAGUCUGUGGGCAGCCAUUAAACCUGUGUUUGCAAAGCUUUGGGUUCAUGCCGGGAAGUCAAUUACAAAAGAACAUUAAGUGAAGACAGCAGGACCGCAGAAUGGUGUUUCCAAUAUGCCUUCGACUAUGUAGAAAAUGUGCGUGUAGAAAUGAAAGGAAAUACAAUGAAAGAUGAACAAUAAUGAUUGUUUUUGGGGAAGGUGAGGAUAGGUGAAUGCUAGCUGCUGCUUCAUUUAUGGCAUCCAAACUGCCCACAGUGGGACAUUACAUUUACUUUCAAAAUUUGUUAAAGGUGUUAGAAACAUCCAUCUCUGUGAGACUGAAAAGGGCGUGGUCUUGCUGUUGGUGUAGGUGGCCUCCCAAGGCGGCAGCGCCGAGCUGGCCUGACCCCAGGGUCCUGGUUCUAUCCCUCUGUGAUUGUCACAGCUCCCUCCCUUGUUUUGGGGGUAGGUAAUAACCCCUCCCCAUGGACUGAACAUAUUUUUAAUCACUUUUGACAUUUCUUUUAUUUUUGAAUAAUUUUAGGUUUGCAGAAAAAUUUUAGAUAUACAGACAUCUGAAUAAUUCUGGAUUUAUGCAAAAGUAGUACAGAGAGUUCCUCUAGAUCCUUUACCCAGCUUCUCCUAAUAUUAACGAGUUCUAUAACCAUGGUACCUAGUAAAGAAACUACAGAUUUUGUUAGAAUUUCCCCAGUUUUUCCCAUUAAUGUCCUUUUAUUGUUCAAGGAUCCAAGGAAGAAUUCCACAGUGCAUUUAGAGGGUGGUUCUUCUUAAAGGUACAACUCAGAACAGCAUUCUAUCAGGUGUGUAUGUAGAUUAUUCUAUCUGUUGUAGAUUAUCCUAUCUGUUUUAUGUACAUAAAAACCAGAUUUUUUUUUCCUCUGGGGUGGAGUGACACAGUUAAGCAGUCAGCCUCUAACUUCUCAAAAUGAGAAUUUAUUUUUUCUCCAAAACCCAGGGGUCUAGUCCUAUUCUAUCCUCUUCCCACCCUGAGCAUUGUGUUGAACCGCAGGGGAAAAAUAGCAGAACAAAAGAGAGCAUUUGGAAAAUCCCAUAUUAGUUUUGAUGGCAUUUCUUAUAAAUAAAUCAGGUUCUAUUAAAAAAAAA